UGGAUUCAUGUGCAGCUUGUGUGUGAGCCAUGUUAGCAAAAUACAUAGGUAGGUUCAUAAGUACCUAGGCAUAUUCUAUGGGUUCAUGCUCAUGUGCAGCUUGUGUGUGAGCCAUGUAAGCAACAUACAUAGGUAGGUCCAUAAGUACCUAGACAUACUUCUGUGGAUUCAUGUGCAGCUUGUGUGUGAGCCAUGUUAGCAACAUACAUAUAGGUAGGUCCAUAAGUACCUAGACAUAUUGCUAUGGAUUCAUGUGCGGCUUGUGUGUGAGCCAUGUUAGCAACAUACAUAGGUAGGUUCAUAAGUACCUAGGCAUAUUCUAUGUGUUCAUGCUCAUGUGCAGCUUGUGUGUGAGCCAUGUUAGCAACAUACAUAGGUAGGUCCAUAAGUACCUAGACAUAUUGCUAUGUGUUCAUGCUUAUGUGCAGCUUGUGUGUGAGCCAUGUUAGCAACAUACAUUGGUAGGUUCAUAAGUACCUAGAAAUAUUGCUAUGUGUUCAUGCUCAUGUGCAGCUUGUGUGUGAGCCAUGUUAGCAACAUACAUAGGUAGGUCCAUAAGUACCUAGACAUAUUGCUAUGGAUUCAUGUGCAGCUUGUGUGUGAGCCAUGUUAGCAACAUACAUAGGUAGGUCCAUAAGUACCUAGACAUAUUUCUAUGGAUUCAUGUGCAGCUUGUGUGUGAGCCAUGUUAGCAACAUACAUAGGUAGGUCCAUAAGUACCUAGACAUAUUUCUAUGGAUUCAUGUGCAGCUUGUGUGUGAGCCAUGUUAGCAACAUACAUAUAGGUAGGUCCAUAAGUACCUAGACAUAUUUCUAUGGAUUCAUGUGCAGCUUGUUCGUGAGCCAUGUUAGCAUCAUAUAUAGCUGAGUCUGUAAGUACCUAGAAAUAAGAUGUAGGUUUAUACUCACGAACAUUUCGUGUUUAGUCAUGUUAGCACCAUGUGCAAAUAAGUAUGGUAGUACCAAGACAUAUGUUAUGGCUUUGAGAACAGGUAGAGCUAUUGAACUGAGUCCCGAUUUGGUUAAGUCUUUUUAUGUAAGCUGGUACCUGAGGAAAUGGAUCGAUACUUCACCGAUAUAUCACUGUGAUAAACUGACUCACAUUGCUCAGGUUCAAUAACUCUGUUUUGGAUUAUUUUCAAAAGUAUGCCCCUUUUUCGACUUAGCAUUUUGUAUGCAAGCUGGUAUCUGAGUACCCACUAACUGGAAUGGAUUGAAACUUCACACGCUUGUCCACUGUAAUGAUCGGAUACGCAAUGCAUGAUUCAAUAACUCUACUUUGUAUUUUUUAUAAAAUUAUGCCCCUUUUUCGACUUUUAUAUUCAUUCAGUCGACAAGUUUGUUGAAUAAUCGAGCGUUGAUGUCCUCCGACGCCUCUUGUUAGAAUACUACUGAAAUUAACAGAGAAAACAGAGUUAGAAAAAACCUUAAAAUAUCUUCUUCUUUUCACACCUAGAUAGUAUCAUCCGACAUUUAUUAGACUUACAAAGUCUGUUGAGAUCAAAUAAUUUGUAAUAAUAUUAAUUUCUUCAUAUUGACACUGAUAUUUUCUCAGAAAAAAACAUUCUCUAGGCUCAUCUAGAGACAGAGGCAUGAGAUAUUGUAAAUUUAUUUCGGAAAGUGGUAUCAGAGAGGAUUGAUUUUACGGCUAGGUGCUUUACAUUUAAUGACUCUUAACGACUGAUGCCAGGUUUGACAUUUAUGUAAUAGUCACAUUAUUAUCUAGGAAAUUAUUUUGUCAUACUUCCCUUGAAAAUAGGACAAUAACGUUUGGAAACAUUUUACAUUAUUGAAUAAUAUGAGAUCUUUUUUUUAAGGACUACACAGUUUUAUUGAAAUGAGCUAUACUAAGUAUGUAUGGUAGUACCAAGACAUAUGUUAUGGCUUUGAGAUCAGGUAGAGCUAUUGAACUGAGUCCAGAUUUGGUUAUUACAGGGUGAAAUGAUAGGAGGGAAGUUUGGAAUGAUAGAACCAUUGGUUGUUUUUGGUGCUCUCUCAAUUAUAGCAGGAUUGUUACUACUCUUACUACCAGAAACUCUCAGGCAAAAACUUCCAGAUACCAUUCCAGAGGGUGAACAAUUUGGAAGGAAAAUACAACCGAAAGAGAAAGAAGUAGAGAUUCCAUUUAUCACUCAAGUCAAAGACGUGAAAUAAACUCAGUUAUGAUAAAUAAUAUAUAUAUUUUGAAUAGUGGAACUAUUUAGCUCACCUUGUCACGUACUGACAAGGUGAGCUUUUGUGAUCGCCAUUCGUCCGUCGUCCGUCGUAUGUCGUCCGUCCGUCGUAUGUCGUCCGUCCGUCGUCUGUCAACAAUUUCUUGUGAACAUGAUAGAGACCACAUUUUGAAAUCAAUUUUGAUCAAACUUGCAUACAUCUUGAACUGGCAUAAUAUCUCGGUUCCUUUCGAAAACUGGCAAGAUCACAUCAUGGAUUCAAGAGUUAUGGCCCCUUAAUGGGCCAACAUUUGCUAUUUUGGCUUGUGAACACGAUAGAGGCCACAUUUUGCAAUCAAUUUUAAUCAAACAUGCACACAACUUGUAUUGGCAUAAUAUCUCGGUUCCUUUCGAAAACCGGUCCGAUCCCUUCAUGGGUUCCAGUGUUAUGGCCCCUUUUAGGGCCAACAUUGGCUAUUUUGACCUUUGCAGCCAUAUAGAGACUUCAUUUAUGAUUAAAUUUAAUACAAACUUAAAAAAUGUCUUUAACAACAAUAGAUCUUGGAUUCCAUGAAGAAUCCGUCAGAUCCAAUCAUAGGUUCCGGAGUUACGGCCCCUGAUUGAUCCAUGAAAGAGCCAAAAUUUGUUAAUUUUUACCUUGUGAACACGAUAGAAGUGACAUUUUACACUUGAUUUUAACCAUACCUACACACAACUUAAGUCACAAUAAGAUAUCACUUUCUAUCGAAAACAGGCUAGAUUCCAAUGUUGAUACUAAAGUUACUGCCCCAGAAAGUGGCAAAAGUUUCUAUAUUGGCUCUUUUAGCCAUAUAGAGGUUUCAUUUAUGCUUUGGUUUGAUACAAACUUGCACAGAAUGUUUAUCUUGAUGAUCUCUAGGCUAAGUUCGAAACUGGGUCAUGUGGGUCAAAAACUAGGUCACCAGGUCAAAUCAAAGGAAAAGCUUGUUAACACCCUAGAGGCCAUAUUUAUAAUCCUAUCUUCAUGAAACUUGGUCAGAAUGUUUAUCCUGAUAAUUCCUAGGCCAGCUUCGAAACUGGGUCAUAUUGGGUCAAAAACUAAGUCACCCGCUAAAAUCAAAGGAAAAGCUUGUUAACACUCUAGAGGCCACAUUUAUGAUCCUAUCUUCUUGAAACUUGUUCAGAAUGUUUAUCUUGAUGAUUCCUAUGCCAAAUUCGAAACUGGGUCAUUUUGGGUCAAAAACUAGGUCACCAGGUCAAAUCAAAGGAAAAGUUUGUUAACUCUGUAGAGGUCACAUUUAUGACCCUAUCUUCCUAAAACUUGGUCAGAAUAUUUAUCUUGAUGAUUCUGAGGCCACGUUUAACAGGUGAGCGAUAUAGGGUCAUCAUGACCCUCUUGUUAUGAAAUAUGUGCCAGUGACUUUACUAGAAAAUGUUAAUUAUCUUGUUGCUUAUAGACGUCGGUCGAAAUAAAAUGAUAUUCUUGGAUAUAAAGCAGCAACAUGUAUUAAAGUUGCAACCUUAAUUCAGAGUUGCAAACAAAAUUCUGCAUAGUAUUAAACGUAAAAAUGAUCUCAGUUUAUAUCAUAUAAUCUCAUUCAAAACAGCUGUAUGGUGCUACAAAAUACAAUUGACGUUUUAUCGUGAUAUUGUUUCCUUUUGAAACUUCCAGCAGAGGACAAGUAGUAUUUGUUUAUUCUUAUGUUCACAUAAUUAUGUUUAUGAUGUUUUUACCAUUAAAGGUUAUAAAGUCA